CGGGCCUCCUCGCAUGGUGGGGCGGUGAACCUGGUCAGGUCGGGAACGAAGCAGCCACAAUCGUUUUCCGCCAGUGCCG
rfam:Burkholderia sp. 383 chromosome 1, complete sequence.